rnacentral:lncRNA from 1 species
CUCUAGGAGAGUUUCCAUUUCUGGUUUCUCCUCUUCAAUUGCUGGUUUGUCAUGUUUCUCUUCAACAGCUAUCUCUUCAGAGGUCUCUUCAACCAUUGGUUCUUCAGGUUUCUCUUCAAGUGGUAGUUCAGGUGUUUCCUCCCCUGCUAGCUCUUCAGGUGUUUCUUUAGUUGUUGGUUCUUCAAGUUUCUCUUCAACAGUUGGUUCUUUAGGUUUCUCCUCAACUGGUUCUUCAGAUUUCUCCUCAAUUGUUGGUUCUUCAGGUUUCUCCAUAAUUGCUGGUAUAUCAAGUUUCUCUUCAAUAACCGGUUUUUCCACAGCUGCUGGUUUUUCAGGGUUUUUCUCAUCUUCUAGAAAGUGAGCAGCAUUGUUGCUAGUAUUGCAGGGAAUUUUAUUGUCAGUUUUUUCCUUCGAGUCUGCAACUAGCAAAUUCUGUAAGAAGAAUUUAAAGUUUCACUUAGUCUUUCAGUAGAUAAGCAGAUGUAAAUUGUUGUACAUACAUAACUAAUAGGACAGAUAAACUUUAUGACAGUGCUUGACCCUUGCCUUAUCCAAAAGAGUUACCUUUUCUGGUUUCUCCUCUUCACCUGUUGGUUCUUCAGGUUUCACCUCUUCAACUGCUGGCUCUUCAGGUUUUUCUUCACAUGCUAGUUCAUUAGGUGUUUCUUCCCGUGUUGAUUCUUUGGGUGUCUCUUCAGUUAUUGUCUUUUCAGGUUUCUCUUCAACCUUUGGUUCUUCAAGUUUCUCCUCUGCCAAUGGUUCUUCAAAUUUCUCCUCCACAGUUGGUUUUUCACGUUCUUCUUCAACUGCCAGUUCUUCAAGUUUUUUCUCAACCGCUGGUUCUUCAGGCUUCUCCAUAACAGCCAAUACUUCAGAUUUUUCUUCAAUCAUUGUUUCAUCAUUAUCUUUUUCAACUACUAGUUCUUGAGGUUUUUCCUCGACUGAUUCAUAGUCAGCAAUAUCAUUGUUGGUAUUGCAAGGAAUUGCAUUAUCUAUCUUGUCCUUUGGGUCUUCCAUUGGAAAAUUCUGCAAGAAAUUUAGAGUUCUACUUAGUAUUUAAAUAGAUAAACAUAUGUAAAUUCGUUGCACAUAUAAAGCCUAAUUUGAUGAAUAAACUUUGUGACAAUGUUUAAUCCUGACCUUCUCUAGAAGAGCUUCUGUUUCAGGUUUCUCCUCUUCAACAAUUAGUUCUUUAGGUGUCUUUUCAACCGUUGGUUCUUCAGUUUUCUCUUCAAGUGCUAAUUCUUCAGGUGUUUCCUCCCCUUCUAGCUCUUCAGGUGUUUCUUCAGCCGCUGGUUCUUGAGGUUCCUCCUCAACCACUGGUUCUUCAGGUUUCUCCUUAACCGCUGGUACAUCAAGUUUCUCUUCAAUAGUUGGUUCUUCAGGUUUUUCUUCAACUACUGACUCUUCAAGAUUUUCCUCAACUUGUGGAGGGUGAGCAACAUCAUUAUUGGUAUUGCAUGGAGUUUCACUGCCAGUUUUGUCGUUUGAGUCUACAACUAGCAUAUUCUGCGAAAGAAUUUAAUGUUUCACUUAGUCUAUCAAUGAAGAAGCAGAUGUGAAUCAUUGCACAUACAUAACUAAUAAGAUGGAUAAACUUUGUGACAGUGCUUGACCUCACCUUUUUGGAUGUCUCCUCUUCAAGUGCUGGUUUCUCUUCAAAUAAUAGUUCGUUAGGUGUUUCUUCCCGUUUUGGUUCUUCAGGUGCUUCUUCAGUUAUUGGUUUUGCAGCUUUCUCCUCAAUUGUCUCCUCAACCAAUGGUUCUUCAAGCUUCUCUUCCAUUGUUGUUUCUUUAGGUUUCUCUUCAAUUGCCGGUGGUUCAGGUUUUUUCUCAUCCACUGGUUCUUCUGGCUUCUCUGAAACUGCUGUUUCUUCUGAUUUCUCUUCAAUUGCUUGUUCUUCAUGUUUUUUUUCAACUACUGGCUCUUCAGUUUUUUCCUCAACUGAUGCAUAGUCAGCAAUGUCGUUGGUAUUGCAUGGAAUUGCAUUGUCUGUCUUGUCCUUUGAGUUUACAAUUGGCAAAUUAUGCAAGAAAAUUUUAAGUUUCAUUUAGUCUUUCAACAGAUAAACUUAUGUAAAUUCGUUGCACAUAUAAAGCUAAUAUGAUGGAUAGUUUUUAUGACAGUGUUUAUUUGUCACCUUCUCCUGAAGAGCUUCUGUUUCAGGUUCUUCCUCUUCAAUUGCUGGUUUUUCAUCUUUCUUUUCAACAACUAGUUCUUCAGAUGUGUCUUCAACUGUUGGUUCUUCAGGUUUCUCUUCAAGAGCUAGUUCUUCAGGUGUUUCCUCCCCUGCAAGCUCUUCAGGUGUUUCUAUAGUCGCCGGUUCUUCAGGUUUCUCUGUAAUCUCUAGUUCAGGUUUCUCCUCAACUGGUACUUCAGAUUUCUCCUCAAAUGUUGGUUCUUCAGGUUUCUCCUUAAUAGCUGGUACACCAGGUUUCUCUUCAAUGAGUGGUUCUUCAGUUUUUUCUUCAACUGCCGAUUCUUCAGGAUUUUCCUCACUGUCUGGAGAGUGUGCAACAUCAUUAUUGGUAUUGCAUGGGAUUUCACUGCCAGUUUUUUCGUUCGAGUCUACAAUUAGCAUAUUCUGCAAAAAGAAUUUAAUGUUUCACUUAGCCUUUCAAUAAAGAUGCAGAUGUGAAUCAUAGUACAUACAUAACUAACAAAAUGGAUAAACUUUGUGAUAGUGCUUGACCCUUACCUUUUCCAAAAGAGUUACCUUUUCAGGUUUCUCCUCUUCCAUGGCUGGUUCUUCAUGUAUCUCUUCAAAUGCUAGUUCCUUAGGUGUUUCUUCAAUUACUUGUUUUUCAGGUUUCUCCUCAAUUUUUGGUUCUUUGAUUGUCUCCUCAACUGAUGGUACUUCAAGCUUUUCUCCCACGGUUGGUUUUUCAGGUUUCUCUUCAACUGUCGGUUGUUCAGGUAUUUUCUCAACCGCUGGUUCUUCUGGUUUCCCCGAAACCCUUGAUUCUUCAGAUUUUUCUUCAAUUGCUGAUUCUUCAGAUAUCUCUUCAACUAUUGCUUCUUCAGUUUUUUCCUCAACUGAUGCAUAGUCAGCAAUGUCAUUGUUGGUAUUGCAUGGAAUUGCAUUGUCUAUUGUGUUCUUUGAGUUUACAAUUGGAAAAUUCUGCAAGAAAAUUUAAAGUUUCAUCUAGUCUUUCAAUAGAUAAACAUGUAAAUGCGUUGCACAUAUAAAGCUAAUAUGCUGAAUAAACUUUGUGAGAGUUAAUUCUCACCUUCUCCUUAAGAGCUUCCAUUUCAGGUUCCUCCUCUUCAAUUGCUGUUUUUUCAACUUUCUCUUCAACAACUAGCUCUUCAGAUGUAUCUUCAACCGUUGGUUCUUCAGGUUUCUCUUCAAGUGCUAGUUCUUCAGGUGUUUCUAUUGCUGCCGGUUCUUGAGGUUUCUCUUCAGUCUCUGGUUCUUGAGGUUUCUCCUCAGCUGGUACUUCAGAUUUCUCCUCAAAUGUUGGUUUCUCCUCAACUGCUGGUACAUCAGGUUUCUCUUCAAUGACUAGUUCUUCAUUUUUUAUUUCAACUGCCGGUUCUUCAGAAUUUUCCUCAAUGUCUGGAGAGUGAGCAACAUCAUUAUUGGUAUUGCAUGGAAUUUCACUGCCAGUUUUGGUGUUCGAGUCUACAAUUAGCAUAUUCUGCAAAAAGACUUUAAUGUUUCACUUAGCCUUUCAAAAGAAGAGCAUGUGAAUCACUGUACAUGCAUAACUAACAAAAUGGAUAUACUUUGUGAUAGUACUUGACCCUUACCUUUUCCAAAAGAGUUACCUUUUCAGGUUUCUCCUCUUUCAUUGCUGGCUCUUUAUGUAUCUCUUCUAAUGCUAGUUCCUUGGGUGUUUCUUCAGUUACUUGUUUAUCAGGUUUCUCCUCAAUUUUUGGUUCUUUGAUCGUCUCCUCAACUGAUGGUUCUUCAAGCUUUUCUCCCACUGUUGGUGUUUCAGGUUUCUCUUCGAUUGUCGGUUGUUCAGGUAUUUUCUCAACCGGUGGUUCUUCUGGUUUCUCCAAAACCCUUGAUUCUUCAGAUUUCUCUUCAAUAGCUGAUUCUUCAGAUAUCUCUUCAACUUCUGGUUCUUCAGUAUUUUCCUCAACUGAUGCAUAGUCAGCAAUGUCAUUGUUGGUAUUGCAUGGAAUUGCAUUGUCUGUUGUGUUCUUUGAGUUUACAAUUGGCAAAUUCUGCAAGAAAAUUUGAAGUUCCAUUUAGUCUUUCAAUAGAUGAAACAUAUUUAAAUUCAUUGCACUUAUAAAGUUAAUAUGCUGAAUAAACUUUGUGACAG